UCCAGCUGUAAAAGCAAGCAGCAGCAGCCAAAGCGGAUAUACAGCAGAAUUGCUAGAUGACCAGAUGCUGGGGGCAGAGGAAGAAUGUUCACUGCGGACCAAGAAACCCAUAUAGUCAAUAUGGUGAUUGGAAAUAAUUCCAUAAGGCUACGCGAAAUUCAGCAGCGCGUAACUGAGGAUGACACCACCUUCCAAAACAUACAAAAUGUGAGCAUUUCUGUAUUAGGUCGUGUACUUGCCCGCAACAGAAUCCGAAUGAAACAAAUCUACAGAGUACCUUUUGAAAGAAACAGUGAACGUGUAAAACAGCUGCGAUACGACUAUGUGCAGAGAGUGAUGGAGCUAGAGGCAGAUGGGUCAUGAGCAGUUUUUUGUGGCUGAGGCUGGUUUUCACCUCACUAAGACAAGGAGACGUGGCAGGAACAUUAUUGGGCACCGUGCCAUAAUCAAUGUCCCAGGACAACGUGGUGGUAACAUAACUAUGUUUGCAGCUAUAAGUCAAAAUGGUGUUGUUCACCAUCAUGCAGCCCUGGGCCCAUAUAACACUGCACACAUUAUUACAUUCCUGGACGCCUUACAUGACAUGCUCACUAAUGUUAAGAGAGAGCAGACCAGAUACGUCAUCAUAUGGGACAAUGUUAGUUUCCAUAGGGCU